CCUACGGGAGGCAGCAGUGGGGAAUAUUGCACAAUGGGGGAAACCCUGAUGCAGCGACGCCGCGUGAGUGAAGAAGUAUUUCGGUAUGUAAAGCUCUAUCAGCAGGGAAGAAAAUGACGGUACCUGAUUAAGAAGCCCCGGCUAACGACGGGCCAGCAGCCGCGGUAAUACGUAGGGGGCAAGCGUUAGCCGGAUUUACUGGGUGUACAGGGAGCGGAGACGGCAGCACAAGUCUGGAGUGAAAGGCCGGGGCUUAACCCCGGAACUGCUUUGGAAACUGUGCAGCUAGAGUGCAGGAGAGGUAAGUGGACUUCCUAGUGUAGCGGUGCAAUGCGUAGAUAUUAGGAGGAACACCAGUGGCGAAGGCGGCUUACUGGACUGUAACUGACGUUGAGGCUCG
rnacentral:rRNA from 1 species